CCUACGGGUGGCAGCAGUGGGGAAUAGUGCACAAUGGGGGAAACCCUGAUGCAGCGACGCCGCGUGAGUGAAGAAGUAUCUCGGUACGUAAAGCUCUAUCAGCAGGGAAGAAAAUGACGGUACCUGACUAAGAAGCCCCGGCUAACGACGUGCCAGCAGCCGCGGUAAUACGGAGGGGGCAAGCGUUCUCCGGAUUUACUGGGGGGAAAGGGAGCGUAGACGGCAGCACAAGUCUGGAGUGAAAUCCCGGGGCUUACCCCCGGAACUGCUUUGGAAACUGUGCGGCUGGAGUGCCGGAGGGGUAAGCGGACUUCCUCUUGUAGCCGUCUACUUCGUAGAUCUUAGGAG
rnacentral:rRNA from 1 species